CCCUGGGUAGCACAAUGGUUAGAGUCUAGGGCUCUUAACCGAAAGGUUCUGAGUUCGAACCUCGCAAGAAGCA
rnacentral:tRNA from 1 species